rnacentral:rRNA from 1 species
UACGUAGGGGGCAAGCGUUGUCCGGAAUUAUUGGGCGUAAAGAGCUCGUAGGCGGUCUGUUGCGUCGGCUGUGAAAACCCGGGGCUCAACCCCGGGCCUGCAGCCGAUACGGGCAGACUAGAGUUCGGUAGGGGAGUCUGGAAUUCCUGGUGUAGCGGUGAAAUGCGCAGAUAUCAGGAGGAACACCGGUGGCGAAGGCGGGACUCUGGGCCGAUACUGACGCUGAGGAGCGAAAGCGUGGGGAGCAAACAGG